ACACGACUACAUUAGAUACCCGUGUAGUCCUAGCCGUAAACGAUACUCGCUAGGUGUCGGCCACGGUGCGACCGUUGUCGGUGCCGUAGGGAAGCCGUGAAGCGAGCCACCUGGGAAGUACGGCCGCAAGGCUGAAACGUUAAAGGGAUUGGCGGGGGAGCACAACAACGGGUGGAGCUUGCGGUUUAAUUGGAUUCAACGCCGGAAAUCUUACCGGGACCGACAGCAACAUGAAGGCCAAGCUGAAGACUUUGCCGGAUUAGCUG
rnacentral:rRNA from 1 species